rnacentral:rRNA from 1 species
AUACGGAGGGUGCGAGCGUUAAUCGGAAUUACUGGGCGUAAAGCGUACGUAGGCGGUUGGUUAAGUUAGAUGUGAAAGCCCCGGGCUUAACCUGGGAGCUGCAUUUAAAACUGGCGAACUAGAGUUGAGUAGAGGGGAGUGGAAUUUCAGGUGUAGCGGUGAAAUGCGUAGAGAUCUGAAGGAACACCAGUGGCGAAGGCGACUCCCUGGACUCGAACUGACGCUGAGGUACGAAAGCGUGGGUAGCAAACGGGAUUAGAAACCCUAGUAGUCC